CCUACGGGUCGCAGCAGUGGGGAAUAUUGCACAAUGGGCGCAAGCCUGAUGCAGCCAUGCCGCGCGUAUGAAGAAGGCCUUAGGGUUGUAAAGUACUUUCAGUUGGGAGGAAGGCGUUGAUGCUAAUAUCGUCAACGAUUGACGUUACCAACAGAAGAAGCACCGGCUAACUCCGUGCCAGCAGCCGCGGUAAUACGGAGGGUGCAAGCGUUAAUCGGAAUUACUGGGCGUAAAGCGCACGCAGGCGGUUGAUUAAGUUAGAUGUGAAAUCCCCGGGCUUAACCUGGGAAUGGCAUCUAAGACUGGUCAGCUAGAGUCUUGUAGAGGGGGGUAGAAUUCCAUGUGUAGCGGUGAAAUGCGUAUAGAUGUGGAGGAAUACCGGUGGCGAAGGCGGCCCCCUGGACAAAGACUGACGCUGAGGAGCGAAAGCGUGGGGAGCAAACAGGAUUAGAUACCCGGGUAGUC
rnacentral:rRNA from 1 species